GAUGAAGAACGUAGCGAAAUGCGAUAAGUAGUGUGAAUUGCAGAAUUCAGUGAAUCAUCGAAUCUUUGAACGCACAUUGCGCCCCUUGGUAUUCCAUGGGGCAUGCCUGUUCGAGCGUCAUUUGUACCUUCAAGCUUUGCUUGGUGUUGGGUGUUUGUCUCGCCUCCGCGUGUAGACUCGCCUCAAAACAAUUGGCAGCCGGCGUAUUGAUUUCUGAGCGCAGUACAUCUCGCGCUUUGCACUCACAACGACGACGUCCAAAAGUACAUUUUUACACUCUUGACCUCGGAUCAGGUAGGGAUACCCGCUGAACUUAAGCAUAUCAAUAAGCGGAGGA
rnacentral:misc_RNA from 1 species